rnacentral:rRNA from 1 species
GACGAACCGUGCAAACGUUGUUCGGAUUCACUGGGCUUAAAGGGCGCGUAGGCGGACGGUCCAGUCGGGGGUGAAAUCUUUCCGCUUAACGGGAAAAGUGCCUCCGAUACUGAUCGUCUCGAGGGAGGUAGGGGCAUGUGGAACUUCCGGUGGAGCGGUGAAAUGCGUAGAUAUCGGAAGGAACACCUGUGGCGAAAGCGGACUCACUG